AGGAGGAACAACCCCAGUGGCGGGGCCAGCUCUGGAGCCCUGGAGUCAGCCCCCGCAGUAACUCCAGAGCUCUCAGUCUGCAGGGCCUGGAGGCUCCGGGGCGGG
rnacentral:pre_miRNA from 1 species